GAGAGCGGGGAAGAAGCACAGAGAUGCAGAAAGAUGCUGUGGAGAAUGAUGCUAUUCUGAUAAGCUCGACCUUUUUUUUCGCUCUGUCUCUCUCUCGCCCGCGCGUAAGGUGUAUGUCUCGACUUCUCGAGCACAUUCAGCCAAACGAAGUCAGUUAGAUGCACACAGUGGCGUUUAAGAAAAGUCAAACUACAUCCCAACUGAGAGUCGCAAUGAGAAGGCAAGUGCUGGAAUCAUCUGAAUGAAGUGGGUGUAGACAUUUAUUUCACUUCACUGAAACCUAUUAUUAUUAUUAUUAUUAUUAUUAUUAUUAUUAUUAUUAUUAUUAUUAUUAUUAUUAUUAUUAUUGCAUUUAUUUACAUAUUUAAUUUAAAAACCGAAACCCUUACACAUCUGAAAUCAAGGAGACGCCUGGGACUUGAGUGAUGGUACUUUAUGAUUCUUUGCCCUCUCAUGGUUUUCUAGCAACACUGGAAUAUAUUUUCUAACGUUUUAAAAUGAAAGUUUAAAUGACACGACUGCUUGGGAGUCAAAACGACGUCUAAUAACAAUAUGCUGAUUUAAGGACGACUUGUAUCUGCUGAGGACCAGCUGCGCUGAGAAGACUUUAGCUGAGCGAUGCAACUGCGUUCUUCCAAAAUACACUGACAGAAACAGAACUCCAACGCUGAAUCGCCCCGAUUUCUGUUGUUUUUGUUGAGGUUUUUUUGUCCUGUUGUGGCUAAAUAUAUAAUUUUAGAGAUAACUCACGCUUGAAGUCGUGUCUGGUAAAACAUGAGCAUGUUCUUGCUAGCCUUUUACCCGGAAUAAAGCGUUUUACUCACCCCUUUUCUGUGGGUAUACCGAAAUCCGGGAAAUAUAUAAAUGGGUGUCUACCUGAAGAGAAAAUGAGGAUAAAACAGUUCAUAGCACUAAGUUCAAUGUCUGCCUCUAGACCAGGUGGCCCUGCUGGAUGUCAUGCUUGGAUUCUACUAGCGAUGAUUCACCUGACCAUGGACUUCUCUUCCUGUAGCCCUGUAACUCAAGGCUCAGGAUUCAAACUUAUAUCAAGGCCUUUGCCUCGGCAUAGGCUGCCUCACAGCCCCCUGUGGAACUUACAGAACGCACAGCACUGGAGAGUCCUGAGCCCUUGGUGGAACAAAGCUCAUCGCCCUGAACUGCUGCACCACAAGAAAACGGAGCAGGCACUGAAACAGAGGAGUCAUAAGCACAGAGGAUCGUUACUUGAAGGCCUUCUUUGUAAAGAAUGCCAGCAUAAAUAUUCUUCUAGUAGAAACGCAGACACUUUGGUUUCUCUUCCAGCCAGAAACUCAGCUGAAGUGACCUUUUUGAAAAGGCCCAGGAGGCAAGUCAGAAACGCAUGGGAUAGUUACGACUACACCCCGGAAGGGUGGACAACAACGAUGCCUGAAUUUAUAGAGUGGGGACCGACCGGGGAAGAUGACACAGGCAUGGGAGAGGAUAAGCAGGAGCACAAGACAAACAGAGGGGCCCCAAACUCCACUACAUUUAGAAGAACCACAACCACCACCACUGCUUCUAUGACUACAACCAAACAGUCCCCGGUCACAACAAAAAUGAACCAUGCAGUGAUCACAAUCUACCCAGGGAAACAGAUGACAACGGAGUCCAGGCAUGUCCGAGUGAUUAGCGAGACAGCUAGACCACCCAAGCAACUUAUAGACACAGCAGGCCUGGCAGUUCACCAGAUAAUCACAAUCACGGUUUCUCUUAUCAUGGUCAUCGCAGCUCUGAUAACAACACUGGUCCUAAAGAACUGCUGUGCACAGAGCGGAAACGGACGACGCAACAACCACCAGCGAAAGAUUAACCAGCAAGAGGAAAGCUGUCAGAAUUUAACCGAUUUCACACCAGCUCGAGUUCCCAGCAACAUGGACAUCUUCACAGCCUACAACGAGAACCUGCAGUGCUCCCAUGAGUGUGUGAGGACAGCAGUGCCAGUCUACACAGACGAAAUGCUACAACAGACCCCUGUGUACAAGACAACCUUUAAUGGAAAUAGACCCUCGCCUGCUGAACGGCAGCUUAUCCCAGUGGCCUUUGUGUCUGAGAAAUGGUUUGAAAUCUCCUGCUGACUGGCCGAAGUCCCUUUACUUCCUGUGGGCGGGGCAGACUCCAUGUUUCUGUUUCCUGGAUUCCUUUGGUGAACCUGUAAAAAAAAGAAAAGAAAAAUAACCUCCAGUUUCUUUUUAUAAACUGUAGGAUGAUGGACACAUUUAUUUUUCUAAAAAAAAACAAAUGCUGAUACUUCUUGAUAUUUUGAAGAAAAGUAUAGCAUUUCUUAAUAUAUAUAUAUAUAUAUAUA